rnacentral:rRNA from 1 species
UCGAGGAUCUUCGGCAAUGGGCGCAAGCCUGACCGAGCGACGCCGCGUGUGCGACGAAGGCCUUCGGGUUGUAAAGCACUGUCGAGGGGGAGGAAGCUCCGUAAGGAGUUGACCUAUCCCUGGAGGAAGCACGGGCUAAGUUCGUGCCAGCAGCCGCGGUAAGACGAACCGUGCGAACGUUGUUCGGAAUCACUGGGCAUAAAGGGCGCGUAGGCGGGCCGAUAAGUCAGGGGUGAAAUCCUCCAGCUUAACUGGAGAACUGCCUUUGAUACUGACGGCCUCGAGUAAGGUAGGGGCGUGUGGAACUGAUGGUGGAGCGGUGAAAUGUGUUGAUAUCAUCAGGAACUCCGGUGGCGAAAGCGACACGCUGGACCUUUACUGACGCUGAGGCGCGAAAGCCAGGGGAGCAAACGG